rnacentral:lncRNA from 1 species
AGACAGAGAGAGAGAGAAGGAGAAAGCUAGAGAGAAAAGGAUGGGUGAAGCUGAUCAUAUUCAGGAAAUUCCAUUCCUUGAAUUUCCAGGAGAUGAUUUAGAUUUAGAGCAAGAGAGUGAGGAAUGGAAGGGCUUGAGGAGCAAAGUGAGGGAGGCAUGUGAGACAUACGGCUGCUUUGGCCUAGUCUGUGAUGCCAUCCCUGCAAAGCUACGUCAAGAGAUGUUCAUGGUCAUGAAAACAUUGUUUGAUCUGCCUGAAGAGACCA